AGUCGAGGGGCAGCAUGGUCUUAGCUUGCUAAGGCCGAUGGCGACCGGCGCACGGGUGAGUAACACGUAUCCAACCUGCCGUCUACUCUUGGACAGCCUUCUGAAAGGAAGAUUAAUACAAGAUGGCAUCAUGAGUCCGCAUGUUCACAUGAUUAAAGGUAUUCCGGUAGACGAUGGGGAUGCGUUCCAUUAGAUAGUAGGCGGGGUAACGGCCCACCUAGUCUUCGAUGGAUAGGGGUUCUGAGAGGAAGGUCCCCCACAUUGGAACUGAGACACGGUCCAAACUCNUACGGGAGGCAGCAGUGAGGAAUAUUGGUCAAUGGGCGAGAGCCUGAACCAGCCAAGUAGCGUGAAGGAUGACUGCCCUAUGGGUUGUAAACUUCUUUUAUAAAGGAAUAAAGUCGGGUAUGNAUACCCGUUUGCAUGUNCUUUAUGAAUAAGGAUCGGCUAACUCCGUGCCAGCAGCCGCGGUAAUACGGAGGAUCCGAGCGUUAUCCGGAUUUAUUGGGUUUAAAGGGAGCGUAGAUGGAUGUUUAAGUCAGUUGUGAAAGUUUGCGGCUCAACCGUAAAAUUGCAGUUGAUACUGGAUAUCUUGAGUGCAGUUGAGGCAGGCGGAAUUCGUGGUGUAGCGGUGAAAUGCUUAGAUAUCACGAAGAACUCCGAUUGCGAAGGCAGCCUGCUAAGCUGCAACUGACAUUGAGGCUCGAAAGUGUGGGUAUCAAACAGGAUUAGAUACCCUGGUAGUCCACACGGUAAACGAUGAAUACUCGCUGUUUGCGAUAUACGGCAAGCGGCCAAAGCGAAAGCGUUAAGUAUUCCACCUGGGGAGUACGCCGGCAACGGUGAAACUCAAAGGAAUUGACGGGGGCCCGCACAAGCGGAGGAACAUGUGGUUUAAUUCGAUGAUACGCGAGGAACCUUACCCGGGCUUAAAUUGCAGAUGAAUUACGGUGAAAGCCGUAAGCCGCAAGGCAUCUGUGAAGGUGCUGCAUGGUUGUCGUCAGCUCGUGCCGUGAGGUGUCGGCUUAAGUGCCAUAACGAGCGCAACCCUUGUUGUCAGUUACUAACAGGUUCCGCUGAGGACUCUGACAAGACUGCCAUCGUAAGAUGUGAGGAAGGUGGGGAUGACGUCAAAUCAGCACGGCCCUUACGUCCGGGGCUACACACGUGUUACAAUGGGGGGUACAGAGGGCCGCUACCACGCGAGUGGAUGCCAAUCCCAAAAACCUCUCUCAGUUCGGACUGGAGUCUGCAACCCGACUCCACGAAGCUGGAUUCGCUAGUAAUCGCGCAUCAGCCACGGCGCGGUGAAUACGUUCCCGGGCCUUGUACACACCGCCCGUCAAGCCAUGGGAGCCGGGGGUACCUGAAGUGCGUAAACCGCGAGGAG
rnacentral:rRNA from 1 species